UAAUGUCUGGGAAACUGCCUGAUGGAGGGGGAUAACUACUGGAAACGGUAGCUAAUACCGCAUAACGUCUUCGGACCAAAGUGGGGGACCUUCGGGCCUCAUGCCAUCAGAUGUGCCCAGAUGGGAUUAGCUAGUAGGUGGGGUAAUGGCUCACCUAGGCGACGAUCCCUAGCUGGUCUGAGAGGAUGACCAGCCACACUGGAACUGAGACACGGUCCAGACUCCUACGGGAGGCAGCAGUGGGGAAUAUUGCACAAUGGGCGCAAGCCUGAUGCAGCCAUGCCGCGUGUAUGAAGAAGGCCUUCGGGUUGUAAAGUACUUUCAGCGAGGAGGAAGGCAUUAAGGUUAAUAACCUUGGUGAUUGACGUUACUCGCAGAAGAAGCACCGGCUAACUCCGUGCCAGCAGCCGCGGUAAUACGGAGGGUGCAAGCGUUAAUCGGAAUUACUGGGCGUAAAGCGCACGCAGGCGGUCUGUCAAGUCGGAUGUGAAAUCCCCGGGCUC
rnacentral:rRNA from 1 species